rnacentral:ncRNA from 1 species
GGAUUAGCAGGGAAUGAAGCCCCUGUUGAGCUUGACUCUAGUCUAGCAUGGUGAAGAGACAUGAGAACAGUGCAAUAAGUAGAAGACCUCUGAUGCUCUCUGGUUCCCUGGGAGGGGUCAGGGUGAGGUCCACCAGCCUCACAGACUACAGUGAAAUGCUACUUAUCAUCAUUUUCCACUGACCCAGGGAGACAGGGGUGGCUUGAGCCAUGAGUGGUUCUCACUUCUGGCACCAAGUGUCUGUCACACAUAUUGUAUGCUAUGGCCCAUUCUGGGAACAGUGCCAUGUUCAUAGUUUGACUGGGGAGUUACACUUGUCAAACAGUAAUGCAGAUGUCCUACAGCGAACUCGCAGAUGACAGAAACUAUCCUUAAAGCUUGCUCUACCAUGAUUUUCAUUACACAUACAAACCAUGAAAGCAGGGCAUUAAAAUCCUUCUGAAUUUUUGGUUUUUAAGUAGGAAUUUUCAGAAAAGUUACCACAGGAAUAACUGCCUUCUGGAAGAUAAGUGUUCAUAGUAACAGUUUUAUUGACCCUGCAAUGUCUGCUGUCCUUGUGAUUUUGAAGCAGGAUUCACCUAGGGUUGGAUUGUUGACCCAGUAAUAGGGAAUGUGAGCUGGAUUAGAACAUCAUGAGACAGAUUCGUUUUACCUACUGAUUAUGUGCUUUUUGCCUUUGAAUUCUGCUCAGUAUGAGAGGAAGAAUAUGUUCAGACAUUUGGUGUGUAUGCUCCACUGAGAAGACAAUGAGCAAGACUACCACUUGUAGAAUUAUGACUUAAGGCCCCUUAGUUGAAAUUCCACCGAUGCAGGGCUGUAAAAUGGAGCCAAAGACCCUCAGUUAGCCCUGGAUAGCCAGGUCUGGUCUAUACCUGCUGGAGGUGCCAUCGCAUUCCCACAAGGUGGUGGGUCCCUGUUGUGUUGGGGCACAGGUGUCCAGUGUGGAAAGACACUCAUCCUCUGAAACAUCAUGUGCUAGAAACGAGAAAGACCUUUCAUCCAUCAUGCUAAUGCAUGUUUGUGUAGAAUCUGGAGCUAAACCAUUCCAAGAUGACCUGCUUCUGUGACAGGGAUUCAUAUAUAGCAGAACAGUUCACUUACAUUGUCUCUUGAAAGUCAUCUGUCAACACAAGGUUU